ensembl:lncRNA
UAAUUUUUACUAAUAUAUCAAUAUCAAGCAAGACUAUUAUGCAAUGAUCUUAAUUUGUAUUAUGAAAGUGUAGUUACUUGAGAAGAUACUUUAUACCACAAAGAAAUGAUUGGAUAAUACAACUUUUAAAACGUGGGACCAUUACUGCUAAAGCAUUUACUCUUUCAAUAGUCCAAUGGUUUCUCGUUCAUUGAGAGGAUUGAGAGAUCUUUCUCCACCCUAACCUUACUUUUAGUUCAACCGUUUAGCCUGGGGCCAAAGGAAGUUCAUCCAGCAGCCCUGGGCUUUGGUAGCUUUGCAAAGGGCCAGGGCUGCAGUGUGACCCACUUCCCACUUUGCAAUUAUAUUGGAACAGAGUAAAUGAAACAAGAUCUUUGUUUGUUGUGUGGGUAUACCUCAGAAUGAUUGGCUGGGAUUAUGUAAAUGCAUCUUGUUAAGGUUUAGAUUAAAUUUUACUGCAAUGUGGAAGUGCAAAUUCAGCCAGACGGGGAUGGAGAAAACGUGGUUGAAGCCAGAGGGGAGCCCGAAUGAAGCUGCAAUAAAAAGUCCACAACAACCGAUAUAUCGGCCUAACCCUGAUAUAGGCUAUUUAUUGCUGUUAAAGAGUAAAUUAGGCUACUAAUGUAUUUCUUAAACAUGUCAUUCAUUCUAUGUAAUAUUUUCAUUCAUACUUCUGAUAGUAUGAGUGCAAAAUAAAAGUUUAAUUCUAUGUGCCCUUAAAAGGUCACAGAGACAUUUGAACUGGUAAUUGUAGGAAAAGCACAGGUGUUAGUAAUAACACUAACGAUGGCUCUGUGCUAUUUAAGGCUCUACACCUGGAACCUGAAAUUAAAGCAGCUCAAUGCAAUUCAGCCAUCAUUAACUUCACUAGUUAUACCAGUGCUUUUGCUACUGUAGCUAGUCAAAAUGUGUUCCGUUAAACAGGCCUAUUGUGCCUGCUGGCUCACUGUCGCACCGUCAUGGCUGACCAAGUUCUUUGCAGCCCUUGAAGGAAUGAAGGAAAGAAAGCGGGAUUAAGGAAAAGGGUUAGCAGAAAUGUUUCCUGAGCAUUUCAUUGCUACUGAUACCAACAUGCCGCCGUUAGUCUUCUUUUGUUGUUUUGCUAGAAAUACAAAAGCAGUCCCUAAACUAAACUUCCUUCAUGCCUAAAGUAACCACCUCCUUAACAAGGCAGUUUGGGCUGUGCUAGGCUUUUAUUAAAGCUGUUCAUUAAUUCUACACCAGCCAUUCUCAGUGUCUUUAUGAGGACAACUAUCCGUGUAAUGACACCUGCAACAGUUGAGACAUUCAGCCUGUCUAAUAAAAAAAACAGAAAUGUCUGUGGCAGCCCUUCACAUUCUGUUUAAUGAGCUGCUCCUCUGGCUGUCUCCUCCUCGGUGGAGCCGCUCUGUCUCUCUCUCCCCCCCCCCCCCUGUUUCUGGCUAAACUGUCUGCCGAAGUUUCUUGUCCAAGCUGUCCUCAUGUCUGCCUAACCUGGACAGCUUUCUAGUGUAGCUGAAUUCUACAGUUGAGUGUUUGUUUGUGUGUGUGUGUGUGUGUGUGUGGGGGGUCUCUGUCCCAGUUUGAAUCUUUCUUUCCCUCUGGGAGAGGCACCAAAACUCCACAUCAUAUUUUUAAACUGCUCCUCUCCUCCCACCACACUGCUCCACCCCUGUGCUUCUCCCUAAAUGUCUUUCUGCCUCGAUCUCAGAGUCAUCUUGGCUCGCAAGGGCCCAUCUGUCCAGAAUCAGGCUGGUCUUGUUUAGUCCUGAAGGCUUGUUUUGACUGUUGAGAGCAUUCAAGCAGGUUUUCCCAGGAAAGAACAAACUACAUCACACUCAAGUCAAC